rnacentral:misc_RNA from 1 species
GAUGAAGAACGUAGCGAAAUGCGAUAAGUAAUGUGAAUUGCAGAAUUCAGUGAAUCAUCGAGUCUUUGAACGCACAUUGCGCCCCCUGGUAUUCCGGGGGGCAUGCCUGUCCGAGCGUCAUUGCUGCCCUCAAGCACGGCUUGUGUGUUGGGCCCCCGUCCCCGGUUUCCCCCGGGGACGGGCCCGAAAGGCAGCGGCGGCACCGCGUCCGGUCCUCGAGCGUAUGGGGCUUUGUCACCCGCUCUGUAGGCCCGGCCGGCGCCAGCCGACACCCAACUUUAUUUAUAAGGUUGACCUCGGAUCAGGUAGGGAUACCCGCUGAACUUAAGCAUAUCAAUAAGCGGAGGA